UACGUAGGGUGCAAGCGUUAAUCGGAGUUACUGGGCGUAAAGCGCGCGCAGGCGGCGGUAUAAGCAUGGCGUGAAAGCCCCAGGCUCAACCUGGGAGGGUCGUCGUGGACUGUACUGCUUGAGGGCGAUAGGGGCUGGUGGAAUGCCUGGUGUAGUGGUGAAAUGCGUAGAGAUCAGGCGGAACACCCGUGGCGAAGGCGGCCAGCUGGGUCGUCCCUGACGCUGAGGCGCGAAGGCGUGGGGAGCGAACGGG
rnacentral:rRNA from 1 species